rnacentral:rRNA from 1 species
UCGGGAAUUUUGGGCAAUGGGCGAAAGCCUGACCCAGCAACGCCGCGUGAGGGAUGAAGUAUUUCGGUAUGUAAACCUCGAAAGAAUGGGAAGAAUAAAUGACGGUACCAUUUGUAAGCUCCGGCUAACUACGUGCCAGCAGCCGCGGUAAUACGUAGGGAGCAAGCGUUGUUCGGAUUUACUGGGCGGAAAGGGCGCGUAGGCGGCGCGGUAAGUCACUUGUGAAAUCUCUGAGCUUAACUCAGAACGGCCAAGUGAUACUGCUGUGCUAGAGUGCGGAAGAGGCUACCGGAAUUCUUGGUGUAGCGGUGAAAUGCGUAGAUAUCAAGAGGAACACCUGAGGCGAAGGCGGGUUGCUGGGCCGACACUGACGCUGAUGCGCGAAAGCCAGGGGAGCAAACG